CGAAGGACCCGAGCGUUAUCCGGAUUUAUUGGGUUUAAAGGGUGCGUAGGCGAACUAGUAAGUCAGUGGUGAAAGCCCAUCGCUUAACGGUGGAACUGCCAUUGAUACUGCUAGUCUUGAGUAUGGUUGAGGUGGGCGGAAUGUGUCAUGUAGCGGUGAAAUGCUUAGAUAUGACCCAGAACACCAAUUGCGAAGGCAGCUCGCUAAGCCAUAACUGACGCUGAUGCACGAAAGCGUGGGGAGCAAACAGGAUUAGAUACCCUGGUAGUCCACGCCCUAAACUAUGAUCACUCGUUGUUGGCGAUACACAGUCAGCGACUAAGGGAAACCAUUAAGUGAUCCACCUGGGAAGUACGACCGCAAGGUUG
rnacentral:rRNA from 1 species